rnacentral:rRNA from 1 species
UACGUAGGGUGCGAGCGUUAAUCGGAAUUACUGGGCGUAAAGCGUGCGCAGGCGGUUUUGUAAGCCAGAUGUGAAAGCCCCGGGCUUAACCUGGGAAUGGCAUUUGGGACUGCAAGGCUUGAGUGCGGCAGAGGAGACUGGAAUUCCUGGUGUAGCAGUGAAAUGCGUAGAUAUCAGGAGGAAUACCGAUGGCGAAGGCAGGUCUCUGGGCUGACACUGACGCUCAUGCACGAAAGCGAGGGGAGCAAACAGG